AUUGAACGCUGGCGGAAUGCUUUACACAUGCAAGUCGAACGGCAGCACGGACUUCGGUCUGGUGGCGAGUGGCGAACGGGUGAGUAAUGUAUCGGAACGUGCCCAGUCGUGGGGGAUAACGUAGUGAAAAUUACGCUAAUACCGCAUACGAUCUAUGGAUGAAAGCGGGGGAUCGCAAGACCUCGCGCGAUUGGAGCGGCCGAUAUCAGAUUAGGUAGUUGGUGGGGUAAAGGCCCACCAAGCCAACAACCUGUAGCUGGUCUGAGAGGACGACCAGCCACACUGGAACUGAGACACGGUCCAGACGCCUACGGGAGGCCGCAGUGGGGAAUUUUGGACAAUGGGCGAAAGCCUGAUCCAGCCAUUCCGCGUGCAGGAUGAAGGCCCUCGGGUUGUAAACUGCUUUUGUACAGAACGAAAGGGUUUCUACUAAUACUAGGAGCUCUUGACGGUACUGUAAGAAUAAGCACCGGCUAACUACGUGCCAGCCGCCGCGGUAA
rnacentral:rRNA from 1 species